UACGGGGGGGGCAAGCGUUGUUCGGAAUUACUGGGCGUAAAGGGCUCGUAGGCGGCCAACUAAGUCGGAUGUGAAAUCCCCAGGCUUAACCUGGGAACUGCAUCCGAUACUGGAUGGCUUGAAUUCGGGAGAGGGAUGUAGAAUUCCAGGUGUAGCGGUGAAAUGCGUAGAUAUCUGGAGGAAUACCGGUGGCGAAGGCGGCAUCCUGGACCGAGAUUGACGCUGAUGAGCGAAAGCUAGGGGAGC
rnacentral:rRNA from 1 species